rnacentral:rRNA from 1 species
UACGUAGGUGGCAAGCGUUGUCCGGAUUUAUUGGGUUUAAAGGGUGCGUAGGCGGCUUUGUAAGUCAGUGGUGAAAUAUGGCAGCUUAACUGUCAAGGUGCCAUUGAUACUGCGGAGCUUGAGUACAGAUGAGGUAGGCGGAAUUGACGGUGUAGCGGUGAAAUGCUUAGAUAUCGUCAAGAACACCUAUAGCGAAGGCAGCUUACUAGGCUGUAACUGACGCUGAGGCACGAAAGCUAGGGGAGCAAACAGG